rnacentral:rRNA from 1 species
AGGCUGCAACUCGCCUGCAUNAAGUCGGAAUUGCUAGUAAUCGCAGAUCAGCAUGCUGCGGUGAAUACGUUCCCGGGCCUUGUACACACCGCCCGUCACACCAUGGGAGUCGGUAACACCCGAAGUCGGUAGUCUAACCGAAAGGAGGACGCCGCCGAAGGUGGGAUUGAUGACUGGGGUGAAGUCGUAACAAGGUAUC